rnacentral:rRNA from 1 species
UACGAAGGGGGCUAGCGUUGUUCGGAAUCACUGGGCGUAAAGCGCACGUAGGCGGAUCUUUAAGUCAGAGGUGAAUCCCAAGGCUCAACCUUGGGAACUGCCUUUGAUACUGGGGAUCUUGAGUCCGGGAGAGGGUGAGUGGAACUGCGAGUGUAGAGGUGAAAUUCGUAGAUAUUCGCAAGAACACCAGUGGCGAAGGCGGCUCACUGGCCCGGUACUGACGCUGAGGUGCGAAAGCUAGGGAGCAACAGG